rnacentral:tRNA from 1 species
GGAGGGGUUCCCGAGUGGCCAAAGGGGGCAGACUGUAAAUCUGUUGUCAGUGACUUCGAUGGUUCAAAUCCAUCUCCCUCCACCA